rnacentral:rRNA from 1 species
UACGAAGGUGCAAGCGUUGUCCGGAAUUAUUGGGCGUAAAGAGCGUGUAGGCGGCCCGACCAGUCCGCUGUGAAAGUCCAGGGCUCAACCCUGGAAUGCCGGUGGAUACUGUCGGGCUAGAGUCCGGAAUGGGCGAGUGGAAUUCCUGGUGUAGCGGUGAAAUGCGCAGAUAUCAGGAGGAACACCAAUGGCGAAGGCAGCUCGCUGGGACGUGACUGACGCUGAGACGCGAAAGCGUGGGGAGCAAACAGG